rnacentral:rRNA from 1 species
UACGAAGGGGGCUAGCGUUGCUCGGAAUCACUGGGCGUAAAGGGUGCGUAGGCGGGCAGGUAAGUCAGUGGUGAAAUCCCCGAGCUUAACUCGGGAACUGCCAUUGAUACUAUCUGUCUUGAAUAUUGUGGAGGUAAGCGGAAUAUGUCAUGUAGCGGUGAAAUGCUUAGAUAUGACAUAGAACACCUAUUGCGAAGGCAGCUUACUACGCAUAUAUUGACGCUGAGGCACGAAAGCGUGGGGAUCAAACAGG